UACGAAGGGGGCUAGCGUUGCUCGGAAUCACUGGGCGUAAAGCGCACGUAGGCGGAUUGCUAAGUCAGGGGGUGAAAUCCUGGAGCUCAACUCCAGAACUGCCUUUGAUACUGGCGACCUUGAGUCCGGGAGAGGUGAGUGGAACUGCGAGUGUAGAGGUGAAAUUCGUAGAUAUUCGCAAGAACACCAGUGGCGAAGGCGGCUCACUGGCCCGGUACUGACGCUGAGGAGCGAAAGCGUGGGGAGCGAACAGG
rnacentral:rRNA from 1 species